UACGGAGGGUGCAAGCGUUGUUCGGAAUUAUUGGGCGUAAAGCGCACGUAGGCGGGCGCGUAAGUCGAUUGUGAAAGCCCGGGGCUUAACCUCGGAAUUGCAGUCGAAACUGCGCGUCUUGAGUGCUUGAGAGGGUGGCGGAAUUCCUGGUGUAGAAGUGAAAUUCGUAGAUAUCAGGAGGAACACCCGAGGCGAAGGCGGCCACCUGGCAAGACACUGACGCUGAGGUGCGAAAGCGUGGGGAGCAAACAGG
rnacentral:misc_RNA from 1 species